AUCUUUGUCUCCGUGCAAGGUUCCCCGCCGGCGGCUGCCGGUCCGGGAUCAAAAGGGAACUCCUGUGUGAAUCAGGGACUAUGCCCGUAGCUGUAAGCUCCGAAAAACACCGCACACUCUUUGCCACUGUCCCCACGGGGACGGGAAGGCGUGCGGCGGGAGCGAGUCAGAAGACCUGCCUUGACGGAGAGGCCGAA
rnacentral:ncRNA from 2 species